rnacentral:lncRNA from 1 species
AGUUGGUAGAGCGGAGGACUGUAGUAUGGUGUAAACCUUUCAGAUAUCCUUAGGUCGCUGGUUCGAAUCCGGCAGGUCGGAUUUUUUCUUUUGCCAUUUUUUUUUACUUGUAAGGAACUUACCAUAUAAUAUACUCCUACUCUUGCAAGUGGUACAUGAAAAGAGUUUACUACCAUUUUCUUUGGUAAUAGCAGCUUAUAAUAUAUAUUUUUGUGUCAGUACAGUGAGAUUCCCUGUAAUCUCCAAUUUCUUAAUCCAGACAGAGGCUUAAGAUUUCAGUAAAAAAUCAAGACUCACAAUAACUGACUUCUCUAAAAACCAAUAUAAGAGAACAAGCACUCAACAGUCACAAAUGUCUUGAUAUACCAACCGUAUAACAAGUUUCGAGAAUAUAUACUACACAUGAUAUUUGAGGAAGAGAAAAAGGGGCACCAGGGUGGUGGAGGGGAGUGAGAGUUUAUAAAGACAAACAGGCAGCAAGAACUUUAAAACGGAUACGUAGGCAUGAAAGUGCAGAAAGAAUGCCUAGAGAACAAGUAGUGGUGCAAAAGGAAAAACACGAGAGCAAAUAACUAGAAGGAUGCAAUGCACAAAGAUCAUGAUAAUAUGGGCUUCUAUGAAGCAGAAGUAGUUGAAGAAAUAAUGUACACUUAAGUCCAAAAUGUAGAUAAAGUCACCAAACAUCUUAUAAACAACUUUAAAUGUUUAUCCCUGAACUUCAUAUUUUUAAAAAUUGUAGAUGGAAGACGAAAUUCAUUCUUGGAACUCACAAACUAAGAUCACCUUAUAAUGUUAUCAAGACUCCAAGCAUUAGAAUAAGUUCCCCUUCUUUUACCUUUUAUUGAUGAGUAAAUAAAAAAAUGCUCAUGCUCAUGCAAUAGGCAUUCUUGAUAAAUGAUAACACUGAUGGACAAUAUUCAGCAGUGCUUUGAGAGGGAAUUCAUUCUUGGAACAAAACAAGAUAGACAUUCUUUAAUGUUUUCAAAACUAUAGCAUUGGAAAGAACCAACAACAACCGACCUUAGCUCAGUUGGUAGAGCGGAGGACUGUAGUGGGGUGUAAACCUUUCAGAUAUCCUUAGGUCGCUGGUUCGAAUCCGGCAGGUCGGAUUGAUUCUUUUUUCUUUCUAUUUUUUUAAAAAAGAAUUAUUUUAUUCUGGAGAAGAGGGCUUUGUCAUAUAAUAUAAUCCCACUCUGACAAGAGUGCAUGAACAUUAUUUAUUAUCAUUUCUUCAGCAAUAGCAACCUAUAUAAUUUUAUUGUUGUGUCAGUAGUGUAAGAUUCCCUGCCAUCUCCAAUUUUACAAUCCAGGCAGAAAACAAGCACUCAACUCUCACAAAUGUCUUGAAAUACCAAUCAUUUAUCGAAUUUCAAGAAUAUAUACAGACAUAUAAGAUUUGAUAAAGGGUGGUGGAGGGGAAGGAAAGAGUUAACAUACACAAACAGACAACAACUUGAAACCAAUACUAUGCAUGAAAAUGCACAAGGAAUACCUAGAGAUGAAGUAGUGGUGUAAAAGGAACAACACGAGUAUGGUGUAAAAGGAACAACAUGAAAAUACUUAAAAAGGUCAUUGCAUAACUCCAUAUCACUGGUGAAAAACAUUAAGCAGUAGCUUUGAGUGGAAACUCAUUCUUGGAACAAAACAAGAUAAAGACAUUUUAUUAACGUUUUCAAAACCAUAUCAUUAGAAAGAACCAACAGCAACCGACCUUAGCUCAGUUGGUAGAGCGGAGGACUGUAGUGGGGUGUAAACCUUUCAGAUAUCCUUAGGUCGCUGGUUCGAAUCCGGCAGGUCGGAUUUAUUCUUUUGCCAUCUUUUUUUUAUAUAUGUAAAGGACUUACCAUAUAAUAUACUCCUACUCUAGCAAGUGGUACAUGAAAAGAGUUUACUACCAUUUUCUUUGGUAAUAGCAGCUUAUAAAAUAUAUUUUUGUGUCAGUACUGUGAGAUUCCCUGUAAUCUCCAAUUUCUUAAUCCAGACAGAGGCUUAAGAUUUCAGUAAAAAAAACAAGACUCACAAUAACUGACUUCUCUAAAAACCAAUAUAACAAAACAAGCACUCAACAGUCACAAAUGUCUUGAUAUACCAACCGUAUAACAAAUUUCGAGAAUAUAUACUACACAUGAUAUUUGAGGAAGAGAAAAGGGGCACCAGGGCGGUGGAGGGGAGUGAGAGUUUAUAUAGACAAACAGACAGCAAGAACUUUAAACCAAUACUUAGGCAUGAAAAUGCAGAAAGAAUGCCUAGAGAACAAGUAGUGGUGCAAAUGGAAAAAUACAAGCGCAAAUAACAAGAAGGACACAAUGCACAUAGAUCAUGAUAAUUUAGCCUUGGUAGAUAAAGUCACCAAACAUCUUAUAACCAGCUUUAAAUGUUUCUUCCUCAACUUCAUAUAAGCAUUAGCAUGAGUUUCCCCUUCUUUUACCUUUUUUGACAAGUAAAAAAUGCUCAUGCAAUAGGCAUUCUUGAGAACACUGAUGGACAAUAUUCAGCAGUGCUUUGAGAGGGAAUUCAUUCUUGGAACAAAACAAGAUAGACAUUCUUUAAUGUUUACAAAACCAUAGCAUUGGAAAGAACCAACAACAACCGACCUUAGCUCAGUUGGUAGAGCGGAGGACUGUAGUGGGGUGUAAAACCUUUCAGAUAUCCUUAGGUCGCUGGUUCGAAUCCGGCAGGUCGGAUUGAUUCUUUUGCCAUGUUCUUUUUCUAUUUAUUUUUUUAAAUCAUUGUUUUAUUCUGGAGAAAAGAAGCUUGCCAUAUAAUGUACUCCCACUCUGACAACAGUAUUUAAUAUCAUUUCUUCAGCAAUAGCAACCUAUAUAAUUUUAUUGUUGUGACAGUAGUGUGAGAUUCCCUGCAAUCUCCAAUUUUAUAAUCCAGGCAGAAAACAAGCACUCAACUCUCACAAAUGUCUUGAAAUACCAAUCAUUUAUCAAAUUUCAAGAAUAUAUACAGACAUAUUAGAUUUGAUAAAGAUAGGGGAACCAGGGUGGUGGAGGGGAAGGAAAGAGUUAACAUAGACAAACAGACAACAGCUUGAAACCAAUACUAUGCAUGAAAAUGCACAAGGAAUACAUAGAGAUAAAGUAGUGGUGCAAAAGGAACAACACAAGAACAAAUAAUUGAAUGGAUGCAAUGCACAUAGUUCAUGGUAAUUUGCGCUUCUGUGGAGGAGAACUGGUCUUCUAUGCAGCAGAACUAGUUGAAGAAAUAAUGUACACUUUAGUCCAAAAGGUAGAUAAGUCACCAAAUAUCUAAUAAACAACUUCAAAGUUUCUUCCACAACUUCAUAUUCAUUAAAAAUGUAGACGGAAGACGAAAUUCAUUCUUGGGAUUCACAAAGUAAGAUCACCUUACUUAUAAUGUUAUCAAGACUCCAAGUCAAGGUAAGCAUUAGAAUGAGUUCCUCUUCUUUUACCUUUUCUUGAUAAGAAAAAAAAAAGUGAUCAUGCUCAAGCAACUGAUGGACAAUAUUCAGCAGAAAAUUCAUUCUUGGAACAAAACAAGAUAGACAUUCUUUAAUGUUUUCAAAACUAUAGCAUUGGAAAGAACCAACAACAACCGACCUUAGCUCAGUUGGUAGAGCGGAGGACUGUAGUGGGGUGUAAACCUUUCAGAUAUCCUUAGGUCGCUGGUUCGAAUCCGGCAGGUCGGAUUGAUUCUUUUUCUCUUUUUUAAAAAUAAUUAUUUUAUUCUGGAGAAGAGGGGCUUGCCAUAUAAUAUAGUCCCACUCUGACAACAACAUUUAAUAUCAUUUCUUCAGCAAUAACAACCUAUAUAGUUUUGGUGUUGUGUCAGUAGUGUGAGAUUCCCUGCAAUCUCCAAUUUUAUAAUCCAAGCAGAAAACAAGCACUCAACUCAAACAAAUGUCUUGAAAUACCAAUCAUUUAUCGAAUUUCAAGAAUAUAUACAGACAUCACAUUUGAUAAAGAAGGGGGAACCAGGGUGGUGGAGGGGAAGGAAAGAAUUAAAUACACAAACAGACAAUAACUUGAAACCAAUACUAUGCAUGAAAAUGCACAAGGAAUACCUAGGGAUAAUUGGUAGUGCAAAAGGAACAACACGAGAACAAAUAAUUAGAAGGAUGCAAUGCACAUAGUUCAUGUUAAUUUGCACUUCUUUGGAGGAGAACUGGUGGAAGAAAUAUUGUAAAUUUCAGGCUAAAAGGUAACCAACAACAACAACAUACCCAUUGUAUUCCCACAAGUGGG